GACGAGAUGUGCAGAUUACCGGUAGAGCAGGGGAUUGAAAAUCCCCGUGUCCUUGGUUCGAUUCCGAGUCCGGGCACCA
rnacentral:tRNA from 1 species